rnacentral:rRNA from 1 species
AGGGUUUGAUUCUGGCUCAGAUUGAACGCUGGCGGCGUGCCUAACACAUGCAAGUCGAGCGAGAACGGUCCCUUCGGGGACUCAGUAGAGCGGCGCACGGGUGAGUAACGCGUGGGUAAUCUGCCCUUCGGACUGGGAUAACAGCGGGAAACUGCUGCUAAUACCGGGUACGCUUCAUAUUUGACUUUAUGAGGGAAAGGCGGCCUCUGCUUGCAAGCUGCCGCCGAGGGAUGAGCCCGCGUCUCAUUAGCUUGUUGGUGGGGUAACGGCCCACCAAGGCUUCGAUGAGUAGCCGGCCUGAGAGGGUGGCCGGCCACACUGGAACUGAAACACGGUCCAGACUCCUACGGGAGGCAGCAGUGGGGAAUAUUGCGCAAUGGGGGAAACCCUGACGCAGCGACGCCGUGUGAGGGAAGAAGGCUUUCGGGUCGUAAACCUCUGUCAGGAGGGAAGAAACCCUUGAGGUCGAACAGGCCUCUUGGCUGACGGUACCUCCAGAGGAAGCACCGGCUAACUCCGUGCCAGCAGCCGCGGUAACACGGAGGGUGCAAGCGUUAAUCGGAAUCACUGGGCGUAAAGCGUACGUAGGCGGCGCGGACAGUCAGAUGUGAAAGCCCUCGGCUCAACCGAGGAAUUGCAUUUGAAACUGCCGUGCUUGAGUAUCGGAGAGGGCAGCGGAAUUCCGGGUGUAGGAGUGAAAUCCGUAGAUAUCAGGAAGAACACCUGUGGCGAAGGCGAGCUUCUGGCCAGAAACUGACGCUGAGGCGCGAAAGCGUGGGGAGCGAACAGGAUUAGAUACCCUGGUAGUCCACGCUGUAAACGAUGUGCACUAGGUGUUGGCUGUGAUAACGGUCAGUGCCGAAGCGAACGCGAUAAGUGCACCGCCUGGGGAGUAUGCUCGCAAGGGUGAAACUCAAAGGAAUUGACGGGGGCCCGCACAAGCGGUGGAGCAUGUGGUUUAAUUCGAUGAUACGCGAGGAACCUUACCAGGGUUUGACAUAUGGCGGACUGCGGCAGAGAUGUCGCUUCCCUUCGGGGCCGCCAUACAGGUGCUGCAUGGCUGUCGUCAGCUCGUGCUGUGAGGUGUUGGGUUAAGUCCCGCAACGAGCGCAACCCCUGCUGUCUGUUACCAGCACGUAAUGGUGGGGACUCAGGCGGUACUGCCGGUGACAAACCGGAGGAAGGUGGGGACGACGUCAAGUCCUCAUGCCCUUUAUAUCUCGGGCUACACACGUGCUACAAUGGUUGAUACAGAGGGGAGCAAAGCUGCGAAGUGGAGCAAAUCCUUGAAAAUCAAUCCCAGUUCGGAUUGCAGGCUGCAACUCGCCUGUAUGAAGUUGGAAUCGCUAGUAAUCGCAGGUCAGCAUACUGCGGUGAAUACGUUCCCGGGCCUUGUACACACCGCCCGUCACACCAAUCGAGUUGGAUGCACCAGAAGUCAUCUGCGGAUGCCAAAGGUGUGUCCGGUAAGAGGGGUGAAGUCGUAACAAGGUAGCC